rfam:TPA: Bos taurus chromosome 8, whole genome shotgun sequence.
UUCCUGAUGGUCCAGUGGCUAAGACACUGUGUUCCCAAAGCAGAGUGCCUGGGUUCGAUUUCUGGUUGGGGAA